ACUCUUCAGGUUGCCGACGCAUCGAAUAACAACUUUACGCUUGUCUUGCACUAUUUCCUUUCUUUCUAUUUAUUAUGAUUUAAUUAUCGCACAUUUUUCGACGCCUGUAAAAAAUAUAUGGUCUCUCGAAGAAAUCGAAAAUUUUUCAAGUGGGGUAACGGCAUAUAGAUACAUAGCUAACCAAGUAUCUUUGGAUCCAUGGACACGACAAACGAACGUGUCCAGCGAGGCGUGGCCAACCAUUUGGAAAUAAACUAUGCCUACGUUUUCUUGACUUUCCACUUCUGAUGAAGAAAAGGAGGAGGUUUGGGGUUGGCUCUCCGUCUAGCUGAGUGACGGGUAUCCAAAGUAUAGAGUAAGAAGUAUAAAUCGCCAAUUGCGUUCUCUCUUGUUGUUAGUUCGGCCCACGAUUUUUGUUUUACUCGCAUUGAGUACGAGGCAAUUCGGAUUAGCUCAUCGUCUUUCAGUCAAGUGAGCUAAGAACGGGCAUAAAGACGCUUUACUCCGAGAUUUUGGGAUCGGAUGACAUCAUUUUGGCGACCAUCAAUAUGUGGUCUUAUGAAGUGGGAGUGGUAAGAGAGAACCUAUAAACGAUAAUCUACCAUGGCUUUUGACAGCACUAUUCCCUAUGGAAUAUUUUCUACGCAAGGAACGAAGCAUGUGAUGAGACCCUUUGAAGUAUACAUAUAUAAUCUAAAUUAGUGAUGAAAGUUGAGUCAAUACACAUGACUAUGUGCAUCUAUGGUAUAAGUCUGAGUGAAACUUACGUAAAAUAUAACAAUUGAAAGCUUUAUUUAGUUUUAUUUGUAAACAUUUUUUUCGAUGUACAAAUUUGUAUUUUAUAUAUUUAGUUUGUGAACCAUUUAGUGAAUUAUCGUGUACAAUUUAACUUUGUUUUAAAUUUAGAUGUCUGCUUUUGUUGGCCCAAAAAGCGAAAAUAAAAACUAAAAAAUGCAUUGCGUUUGCAGCUGAACAACUUUACGCUCCAUUCAGCAUUAAAAUUGCUUUGUGCCACUUUCAAAGCUAUUUCUACUGCAACAAAAGCAACUGCUUCUCUAACUUUGUUUUUUUUUCUACUGUGUUUGGUUUUAACUAUUUCUUAUUUUCUAUUUGCAAGCAUUUGGAAUGCCUCCUAUGCACUUUUAAGCUCUUUUCUUAUUGGCAACAGACACCAAAACACGUGGAACCAAAUCAAUUGAUAGUUAAAAGUGCUCCCAGGUAUAUAACCGUGCACGUAUCGUUGUCUGGAGGAAGGUCGCAAAGCAUCAGAUGGGAGGGCAUAGAAACGAUAAUUAACAAUUUCUGCCAAUUUAACACCAGUUAAAUUCCUCAACCAUCUCUUUUCAACCCUCGUUGGCUGGCACAUCACAACCGAUAAAAUAAAAAACACUUUCAGUGUAAUUGCGAACAUAUAAGACGUUGCCAUGAAACGAGCUUUCCUUUUUCGGUGUUGCCACUUUAUAAUGGAGGUUUUCCGAUGGGGUGAUCUGCGUAUGCCUCGGGAAUUUUAAUCAUUUUUCUCUGUUCGGACAUGCCUAAUAAUUUGUAGUUGCGCAUGCGCCGUUUCCAUUUCUUUGUGCUUACGGCUUACUGCAGCUGACGAAGAAUCCACAACGAAAUAUC